GAUUAUGGCUCAGGAUGAACGCUAGCUACAGGCUUAACACAUGCAAGUCGAGGGGAAACGACAUCGAAAGCUUGCUUUUGAUGGGCGUCGACCGGCGCACGGGUGAGUAACGCGUAUCCAACCUGCCCAUCACUUGGGAAUAACCUUGCGAAAGUAAGACUAAUACCCAAUGAUAUCCCACGAAGGCAUCCGAAUGGGAUUAAAGAUUUAUCGGUGAUGGAUGGGGAUGCGUCUGAUUAG
rnacentral:rRNA from 1 species